UUGAAGAUCCAAAUACCAAAUUCACAAUAUGUUGCUUUGGGUGAUAGGAAUCGCAGCGGCUGUUCUACUUCUUUUCAAAUUCUGUGUAUGGACCAUACGAGCAUGUAUAGCAGUGCUAAGAAUAAGACAUGGAAGCUGCACCGUUUCUAGUCAAGAACAUUCUUGGAUCGGGGAUCUGCGAAACGAUCUGUUGAGCAUAUUAUACAGAAAUGGAUUCAUCGUCUCACGACCCUUCGAAUUCCCCGAUCAUCCCGGAGACGACGAUUCUGAGUAGAUUCGAAACCGGACAGCACGAGUUCACGUGUAAAAGAAUCAAGAAACUCUGUUCGGGAAAGUUUCUUUUUUUGUAAUCGAUGCCAAAACCCUAAUUUUUGUUGUA